rnacentral:rRNA from 1 species
GAUGAACGCUGGCGGCGUGCUUAACACAUGCAAGUCGAACGAUGAACCUCACUUGUGGGGGGAUUAGUGGCGAACGGGUGAGUAACACGUGAGUAACCUGCCCUUGACUCUGGGAUAAGCCUGGGAAACCGGGUCUAAUACUGGAUACGACCUUCUGGCGCAUGCCAUGUUGGUGGAAAGCUUUUGUGGUUUUGGAUGGACUCGCGGCCUAUCAGCUUGUUGGUGGGGUAAUGGCCUACCAAGGCGACGACGGGUAGCCGGCCUGAGAGGGUGACCGGCCACACUGGGACUGAGACACGGCCCAGACUCCUACGGGAGGCAGCAGUGGGGAAUAUUGCACAAUGGGCGCGAGCCUGAUGCAGCGACGCCGCGUGAGGGAUGAAGGCCUUCGGGUUGUAAACCUCGUUCAGUAGGGAAGAAGCCGGCUUUUGGGUUGGUGACGGUACCUGCAGAAGAAGCGCCGGCUAACUACGUG